GAUGAAGAACGCAGCGAAAUGCGAUAAGUAAUGUGAAUUGCAGAAUUCAGUGAAUCAUCGAAUCUUUGAACGCACAUUGCGCCCGCUAGUAUUCUGGCGGGCAUGCCUGUCCGAGCGUCAUUUCAACCCUCAAGCCCCCGGGCUUGGUGUUGGGUAUCGGCGAGCCUCCGCGCCCGCCGUCCCCUAAAUCUAGUGGCGGUCUCGCUGUAGCUUCCUCUGCGUAGUAGCACACCUCGCACUGGGAAACAGCACGGCCACGCCGUUAAACCCCCAACUUCUGAACGUUUGACCUCGGAUCAGGUAGGAAUACCCGCUGAACUUAAGCAUAUCAAUAAGCGGAGGA
rnacentral:misc_RNA from 1 species